UACGGAGGAUGCAAGCGUUAUCCGGAAUGAUUGGGCGUAAAGCGUCCGCAGGUGGCGGUGUAAGUCUGCUGUUAAAGAGUGAGGCUCAACCUCAUAAAAGCAGUGGAAACCAUUUGGCUAGAGUCCGGAAGAGGAGAGUGGAAUUCCUGGUGUAGCGGUGAAAUGCGCAGAUAUCAGGAGGAACACCAAUGGCGAAGGCGGCAUCCUGGACCAAUAUUGACGCUGAGGAGCGAAAGCCAGGGGAGCAAACGGG
rnacentral:rRNA from 1 species